rnacentral:rRNA from 2 species
AGCUCCAAGAGCGUAUAUUAAAGUUGUUGCAGUUAAAAAGCUCGUAGUUGAACUUCCCCCGGCGCGGGCCCCUGUUUUUCGGGGGACUUGGGCCGGGGUCCUUCGGGAAAUUACUUUGAGUAAACGAGAGUGUUCAAAGCAGGCGCGCAGCCUGAAUCUUCAAGCAUGGAAUAAUAAAACAGGACAAUGGUUCUAUUUUGUUGGUUAUAAGCCAUCGUAAUGAUUAAUAGGGACGGUCGGGGGCAUCAGUAUUCAGUAGUCAGAGGUGAAAUUCUUAGAUUUACUGAAGACUAACUACUGCGAAAGCAUUUGCCAAGGACGUUUUCA